GGGUAAGUCCUUCACGGCAUGCUCGCCGCGAACUCCGCCAGAUCUUGAUCGAAGCAACGGUAGUGGCUUGAGCGGCGCGAUGAAGUAAGCUUACCCUUU
rnacentral:SRP_RNA from 1 species